UUAAGUUCAGCGGGUCUUCCUACCUGAUCCGAGGUCAACCUUUGGUUUGGGGGUUCUUUAACGGCCGGGACCCGCGGCACGCCCGGAGCGAGAGGAUGCUACUACGCUCGGGGUGACAGCGAGCCCGCCACUGGUUUUCGGGGCCUGCGGCAGCCGCAGGUCCCCAACGCAGGCCCGGGGGCCUGAUGGUGGAGAUGACG
rnacentral:misc_RNA from 1 species